UAUUGUAGUGCCUGCGUGAUGGUAUAUGUGAACAGGAUCCAUAGAAACUUUUGGGUAUUUACAAGAGCGGUCUCUCUGAUGUGACACGAUAAAGAAUUUGCCGCCAUCUAGGAAUGUUGUCUUGGAAAGCCACAGUCCGUAUAACACAGAACAUUACAAGGUAUGUCAUGAUGCUGUUAUCUUUCGUUUCCUUCCGACAUAUGAUAAACUUAUUAAAUACCCUUACUUAUAAAUGCGAAGCAGAUUUAAACGUAGUU
rnacentral:misc_RNA from 1 species